GCAGUCAUCGUAUAGUGGUGGUACGCCUGCCUUCCAAGCAGGAUGGGCGAGUUCGAUUCUCGUUGGCUGCUCCA
rnacentral:tRNA from 1 species